GAGAAAGAGACUACGCCCGCACUGGAGAACAGGCAUUGAUCUACAUCUGCAGCCUCCGGGUCGCAGUUGCAGUUCGUGGUCAUGGAUGAUUUUGUUCGGGAUAAAUUAUCUGAAUGGAAUCUCAGCGAGUUGAUAGACACAUUUAAAGGACAACGCAUCGACAAAGAAAGUUUUUAUUGUCUGGAUGAUAAAGAUAUCGCCGUCUUGAUCCCCACCGUGGGACCAAGGUCAAAAUUCAAGAAAAAGCUCAAGUGGUUAAAGGUACAUUUCUGUACUCUGCAUACAAGUUACACUCAUACUUUAUUUAUAAUUCACAGUAUCACAGACUUCUGUUCAAACUUUUCAUGACGGAUAAUUCAUACUAUCUCAUUAAAAAUAAAAGGGUGUGCUGGAAUUUGAACAUUUAUUUAUUUUUAUGGUUUGCAACGAUUUUCUUUUGUCACUAAAAGGAACAAAAACAGAAAAUCUCGAAGUCGUCGAUUCGUCUGCUCAAGUAAGUUGAAUAAAGUUUCAAUCACGAAGGUAUCAUAAGGCAAUUAUUACAAUAGUACAGAUCAUAUUGUCAAAGUCCGCUCCAACCUUGUUACGGCCUCUCGGUAAACUAGGGAUGCACAGGCCGCAACAUACAAAAAAGGGAUACAGCUAAGGGGGAAACAAAGGAGGCAAAUAAUAAAGUUAAAUACUUGAACAAAAUAAGGAAGACUUAUUUCAGACAGUUAAGAUUUAACGAAGGGCAGAAUAACACAGAAGCAAAACAAAAGGAAGAAUAGGUGUCAGGGUCUCCAAGGCCAACACAACAAACAAAACCACGAUGCUAACUAGAAAUCAAAAGAUACCACUGACUAGUGUUGUUACGAGAUGUGCCGACGCUUCGAAGCGUGUGUCGAGUAAUGGAGGGGGCGUUUCCUCGAAGCGCGUAUCGAGGCUUGCUUCAUUUAGGGGAGGAGCCAAAGAUGAUGACGUCCGAAGCCUCGCUGCCCGGCUGUACCACGUGACUGCUUCGGGAAGCGGUUCAGAUUUUGCCGGGAGGUUUGACAGCAAUAUAAACCCCUCAGGCUCCAUUCAACAUGUGGGUUGUUGGUUGAGAGUUUGGAGAGUUUAGAGAGAGAGAUAGUUUGGAGAGUGAGGAGAGAAGGAUAGGUGAUAAGAUGGAACUGUUGAGAAACUGUUAUUUCUGAAUAAAAAUGAAUAAAAUG